CAGAAGCACUGUAGAAGACAGAAACGAAGAGAUAAUUUUUCAUGUUUUCACAAUUGCACUCUGUUAAAGGAACUGAGGAGAUAACCAAUCCCUUUGGCAUUUGCUGCACAGGUGUCUGCAAACCAACUAGGACAGCUGGGAUUGGGAUAAAGGUGGUGAUUUCACUUGGAACAGCAUGUCAGGGCGCAGUGUUCGGCUGAAGUCAGUUCCCGUUCAAAGCCUCUCGGAGCUGGAGCGUGCUCGGCUGCAGGAAGUGGCUUUUUAUCAGUUGCAGCAGGACUGUGACCUGGGCUGUCAGAUUACUAUCCCCAAAGGUAAGGGCUUGAUAAGCUGUCUCUGUUUAGAUUGUUAAGCCACUGAUUUCAUAUCACAGCAGCAAACACUGGGUUUUUCUUAUUCCACAGAUACUGCCUUCUAUUUCAGUUUUGCUUAACCACAGUCAUUAUGUAAAAACGAUGAAUAAAGUUGUUUGUCUUCUGUGUCCAAUUUGGGCCACCUGGGAGUGGGAUUGUCUGUUCAAGGGCAGAUGUCUACAGGGUAGAUAAUCUAAAUCAGACCCAUUCAUGCCAGGAUGUCUUAAUACUCAAUUGGGAGAAAAAUGCUUUUCUUACUUUUCCGGAUAUCCAGAAUUAAAUUACUAUGUAGGUCAGGUAGAUCUUACCAUAGAAGUGCUUUUUUUCACUCUGUAUAACAUUGUCUGUGAAGGAAGCCAAAUGUCACUAAUUCACAUAGACAGUGAAGAUAUUUAUGUCAAAUAAUAUGAGUCUUACCCAAGUUUUCCUAAAGAAAAUGGUGCUUAAUUCCUAGAAAAGAAGUUAAUUUUCAGCAUAAAACAUCAAACUCCUAGGAAACAGGAGAUGAAAUGAAAAGGAGAAGCUCAGCUAUCAGAACCCUGAUGCAGGAUACGUGCAUGUGGUAGACCCGUACUUAGGUUACCAUGGAAGAGAUCUAAACCUCACUAAUGAGAAAGUUUCUGUUGUUUCCUGUAGGCUGUGGAUCAAACAUAGCAGAGAUAGCUGUUGUGCAGUCAUCUGCAAGUCUGGCUCUCCUGUUGUUUCUUUGCAGUUGUAUACUUACAUAAGGAAUAACAAGGGAUCGCUGAAUUCUCACCUUUGAUCAGAGUGACUGUGUAGUAGCAUAUACACAGUGAUGCCACAGGAGCAAUUUUUUAAUGAGUCUAAGUUAAGCAGAAAAAAAGUUGUCCAGCAUGUGAAAAUAAUGACAUAGAAAAGAACAAAUGUGAAAGAGACAGGCUUUUGUAUUCAUCAGCUUUUUAGGAUCCGCAGAAAACUCCUGCCAAAACCAACAAAGUCCAACUUCAUGCAUACAGGAAGGCAUCAGUUUGUAGUGAGAUGUAUUUAAUACAUUUCUUCAAGCCUCACCAGCUUCCCUGGUCUCUAAAAAAACAGUUUGAUCAACAGGAAGACAAUUUAAUAGGAUAUUCAUAGGAGGAACUGGAACAUUAAGGGCAUUCCAAUACUUUCUGACAGUCUGAACUGCCAAUGGCUGUUCCUGAGGGAGAUGAAAAUACACAUAUGGAGGUCCCACAUAUGUGGAUGGAUGUGUGUAUAUCAUCCAAGACAAUCAAGUAUAUACAUUGAUAGAAUAGCUUAGUUUGGAAGGGACCUUAAAGGUCAUCUAGUCCAACCCACUGCAAUAAGCAGGGACAUCUUCAACUAAAUGAGGUUGCUCAGAGUCCCAUCCAACCUGGCCUUGAAUGUUUUCAGAAGUUGGGUAUCUACCACCUAUCUGGGCAACCUGUUACAGUGUCACCUUCACUGUAAAAUAUCUUUUUUACACCUACUCUAAAUCUAUCCUCUUUUUUACUAAAACCAUUACCCCUUUUCCUGUUGCAAUAAACCCUACUAAAAAGACUGUUCUUGUCUUUCUUUUAAUCCCCCUUUCAUUACUAAAAGGCUGUGCUAAGAUUUCUCCAGUCUUCUUUCUGCGAGCUGAACAACCCCAAAUCUGUCAGCCUGUCUUUGUAGGAGAGAUGCUCCAGCCCUCUGAUGAUUUUUGUGGCCCUCCUCUAGACCUGCUCUAAUAGGUCCAUAUCCUUCCUGUGCUGAGUACCACAAAACUGUGUGCAGCACUCCAGGUGGGUCUCACCAGAGUGGAGCAGAGGGGCAGAAUCCCCUCCCUCACCCUGUUGGCCACGCUGCUUUGGAUGCAAUGCAGGACGUGUUUGAUUUUCUGGGCUGCAGGGGCACAUUGCUGGCUCAUGUCCAGCCUCUCAUCCAC